ensembl:lincRNA Lhx1os LIM homeobox 1, opposite strand
CGCGUUUAGAGGAUCAGUGGCGGCGGGCCCGCGCGGUGCCGGCGACUAGCAGCGAGAUGUCCUGGCCCCUUCCAGGUUUGGGAGAAUGGAGAGAGCAAGGUGUAGCUGAUUAGCAAGUUAAUUAUUUCAGUACCCCAAGGGUUCAUGCGUGGUGGAGAUGGCCUUGGGAGAGCAACCUCCGGACCUCAGCAGUGUGAGGAUGACAACAGUACCCUGUGGUGCUGUCCCCACUCAGGGUUUCUCUCUGUAGCCCCGACUAUCCUGGAACUCACUCUGCAGACGAGGCUGUCCUCAAGCUCAGAGAUCUACCUGCCUCUGCCUCUGAAGUACUGGGAUUAAAGAUGCAGAGGCCUCCCAGAGAAGUGUGAAGGAAUGGGCCUUAACCAGGGUUGAAGAAAGAAAGUGAAGAAGGGGAGAGCCCAAGGAAAGGUGGGGACAGUUGGAACUUUUGUUUACACUGGUCUACUACUCAUGUAUCGUAUGCUAUAAUCUCCAAAUUCCACAUUUAUUGUAGCUGUCUGCCCCGGCCGCAUGCUGCUUGGCUAAAAAAGUGUUAAAUAAAACUGUAAGAAACGCUA